rnacentral:rRNA from 1 species
CCUACGGGGGGCAGCAGUGGGGAAUAUUGGACAAUGGGGGCAACCCUGAUCCAGCCAUGCCGCGUGUGUGAAGAAGGCCCUCGGGUUGUAAAGCACUUUCAGUGAGGAAGAACGCCUGGUGGUUAAUACCCAUCAGGAAAGACAUCACUCACAGAAGAAGCACCGGCUAACUCCGUGCCAGCAGCCGCAGGUAAUACGGAGGGUGCGAGCGUUAAUCGGAAUUACUGGGCGUAAAGCGCGCGUAGGUGGCUUGAUAAGCCGGUUGUGAAAGCCCCGGGCUCAACCUGGGAACGGCAUCCGGAACUGUCAAGCUAGAGUGCAGGAGAGGAAGGUAGAAUUCCCGGUGUAGCGGUGAAAAGCGUAGAGAUCGGGAGGAAUACCAGUGGCGAAGGCGGCCUUCUGGACUGACACUGACACUGAGGUGCGAAAGCGUGGGUAGCAAACAGGAUUAGAUACCCCGGUAGUC